CCCUGAAGUGCUGGUAUUCUUUUCAUUUGGGGCCCAUCAGCAACAGACUCUCCUGGAGUGUAGGAGCUAUUCUGCUAUUCAUCUUGCUAGGGGCUGGGAAUACAGAGGGCAGCCACAUGCCUCUAACACAAUUCAGUUCAACAAACUUGUAUUAAGGGUCUGCUACAUGCAGAGCACUCUUUAGAUUCUGGAAUUACGAAGGCAAAAAUGAAAAACAGUUACUAUCCCUUAUAAAUUUACUGGUUAGGAGGUUGACAUGCAAACUCAAAUUAAUAACAGCAGCAUUAGUUAUUCAUAGGACACUUUAAAGUUUGAAAAACACUUUGCAAAUUGUAUCGUAUUUGAAUCUCACAGCAAUGCUGUGAAGUAGGUGCUGUGGAUUCAUAUUAUUUUCACUUUACAGAUGAAGAAAGCAAGACUCGUACAAGCCAGGAAGAGAAAAGAGCAAGGGAUUAGAGAGGGAGGGAUCCUCUCUAGCUGGGGGACCGCCAAAGAUGACUUGGAAGAGAUGGUGCCUGAGCAGAAAGAGGGUUACCCUGGGAGCCUGGAGACCUCUACCUCUAAUGGC
rnacentral:lncRNA from 1 species